CAGGAUGUGGCUGAGUGGUAAAGUGUGUGCCUAGCAUGCUCAAGGCCCUGGGUUCAAUCCCCAGCACUGUAG
rnacentral:tRNA from 1 species